rnacentral:rRNA from 1 species
AUUGAACGCUGGCGGCAGGCCUAACACAUGCAAGUCGAGCGGAUGAAGGGAGCUUGCUCCUGGAUUCAGCGGCGGACGGGUGAGUAAUGCCUAGGAAUCUGCCUGGUAGUGGGGGAUAACGUCCGUAAACGGGCGCUAACACCGCAUACGUCCUGAGGGAGAAAGUGGGGGAUCUUCGGACCUCACGCUAUCAGAUGAGCCUAGGUCGGAUUAGCUAGUUGGUGGGGUAAAGGCCUACCAAGGCGACGAUCCGUAACUGGUCUGAGAGGAUGAUCAGUCACACUGGAACUGAGACACGGUCCAGACUCCUACGGGAGGCAGCAGUGGGGAAUAUUGGACAAUGGGCGAAAGCCUGAUGCAGCCAUGCCGCGUGUGUGAAGAAGGUCUUCGGAUUGUAAAGCACUUUAAGUUGGGAGGAAGAGCAGUAAGUUAAUACCUUGCUGUUUUGACGUUACCAACAGAAUAAGCACCGGCUAACUUCGUG